UCCGGAGUCGGGUGUAAGCAGGCGGAGAUUAAAGAUGGAUCGAAGAAGGGCAAGGGAAAGCAAGUUCCAUCUCCUCACUCGAUCGGCAAAUCGAACUUGUCUCCUAGCUCCGACGCGAAGGAAGGAGGAGGAGGACCUGCUUUCGUUUCUCCGAUCAUGGCUUCCUCUCUGGGCUUGAACCGGAUCAAGACGAGAUCCGGACCUUUGCCGCGGGAAAGUGUUUUCAAUUUUAGGAAGGAAGCUGGGAGUAUUAAGCUAGGGGUGGAUCGUGAUGGCUUGUCUCCUGAUGCUGGCCCAAUGAGGAGCCUCAGCCCUAAGUUGCCGCCGGCAUCAGGAUCUCGAUUGCAGAAUGUAGCAUCCUCAUCGGGAGCUGGUAUGUGCACAGAUGACUAACAACAUCUUAAAAUGCUAGGGAUUCGGUUGAUUUAAGAACGCAUUGAACUUGUAUGGCACCUGUUAUGUUAUGAGCAUAUUCGCUUGUAAGAUUUUUAUAAUUAUGCUAGUUUUAAGAAUCACCCGCCGCACUUCUGUUUUUCUGAACUGUUUCUUGAAUACUGUGUCUCUCCUGUUGAUUCUUAUGGUGCUACUUCGUGUAGGUCGCUCUGUGGCAUCUGGACGCUCUGGUCCUCUAAGAAAUUCAGACUUCUGCACCCCGGAGGUACUUUACUCUUUAUUACAUAUAUUUUUGAGGUAGUUUAGUUAUGCUAUAAGUUUUAAGUGAUCUUUUAUGACUUCUUUCUUAGAAUUCGUAUGAAUUGGAAAAUCCAAAAGAGUCAGAAUCACCGCGUUAUCAAGCCUUACUCCGUAUGACCAGUGCUCCGCGGAAGAGGUUUCCUGGUGACAUUAAAAGCUUCUCUCAUGAACUGAACUCAAAAGGUGUACGUCCCUUUCCAUUGUGGAAGCCUCGUAGGUCGAACAAUGUGGAGGUAGGUAUUCUAGACUCUGUUAUCUCUAUUAAUCCCUUGUGAGUUUUGCUCUAAUAGUCUGUCCUUUCCAGGAGAUAUUGGUUCUGAUUCGGGCAAAAUUUGAUAAAGCAAAGGAAGAAGUAAACUCUGACCUUGCCGUAUUUGCUGCGGACCUGGUGGGAGUUCUUGAGAAAAAUGCAGAAAGUCAUCCUGAAUGGGAGGAAACGUUUGAAGACUUGUUAAUAUUGGCUCGCAGUUGUGCUAUGACUUCUCCUGGAGAUUUCUGGCUUCAGUGUGAAGGUAUAGUUCAGGACUUAGAUGAUAGACGUCAAGAGCUCCCUCCGGGCGUUCUCAAGCAGCUUCAUACUCGGAUGCUUUUUAUACUUACCAGAUGUACAAGAUUGCUUCAGUUUCAUAAGGAAAGUUGGGGAGAAGAGGAACAAGCUGUACAACUACGUCAGUCAAGAGUUUUGCAUUCUAUAGAAAAAUUACCUCCUACUGGAGCGGGAAGGAGUUCAAGUGCUGCAAAAAUCUUAAAGAUACCAUCAUCUACCAAGAAAGCUUUUAGUCAGGAACAGCGUGGUUUGGAGUGGAAGGGGGACGUUGUUGUACGCUCGGUUCCUCCUAUCUCUCCUCCCGAAAAUUAUGUUCCUAAUGAAUCUGAAUCUCCUGCAAACAUCGAUAGAAUGUCUUCCUGGAAGAAACUUCCAUCCCCAGCACUGAAAACUGUGAAAGAAGCGCCAGCAUCAGAAGAGCAGAAUGAUAUCAAACUUGAACCUCCAAAUAUGGUUAGAAAUGGACAACCUAGUGAUGAUACUGCUGUUUCUGUUCUAAACUGCCCGCCAGCAAAAGAUUCUCAUGAACAGUCGCCCAAGCAUCGGCACAAUAUUUCUUGGGGUUACUGGGGGGAACAGCCACUUAUCUCGGAGGAAAGUUCAAUAAUGUGCCGUAUCUGUGAGGAGGAAGUUCCCACUACCCAUGUUGAAGAUCACUCCAGAAUUUGUACAUUAGCUGAUAAAUAUGACCAGAAAGGACUGAGUGUUGAUGAGCGGCUGAUGGCAAUUGCUGGAACUCUUGACAAGAUAGCAGAGACCUUCAGGUAUAAGGAUAGCCUAGCAGCUGCUGAAAGCCCAGAUGCCAUGAAAGUAUCCAAUUCAAAUUUGACUGAAGAAUGUAAUGUUCUCUCGCCAAGGUUGAGUGAUUGGUCACGGAGAGGGUCAGAAGACAUGCUUGACUGUCUCCCAGAGACUGAUAAUUCAGUUUUUAUGGAUGAUAUGAGAGGUCUACCCUUAAUGUCUUGUAAAACCCGUUUUGGUUCCAAGUCUGAUCUAGGAGGCAUGGCAACUUCAUCUGCCAGCAGCAUGACUCCUAGAUCCCCGAUUCCAACCCCCAGACCUGACCCAAUUGAAAUGAUUCUAGGAGGCAAGGGUACAUUCCAUGAUCACGAUGACAUUCCACAGGUUUGUGAUGGUUGUGCUCCAUCUUCAUAAGUUUUCCUGUCUUUGUGAUUAAUUAUUCCCCUGAUAAAAAACUCUUGACAACCCAACGCAGAUGAGUGAACUCGCUGACAUUGCAAAAUGUGCAGCAGAUGCUAUUCCUGGUGAUGAGCAACCAAUUCCCUUUUUACUUUCUUGUCUUGAAGAUCUGAGGGUGGUCAUAGACCGCAGUAAGUUUGAAGCACUUACAGUAGAAACGUUUGGAACUCGCAUAGAAAAGUUGAUCCGGUAAGUUCCUUGGUGUUAUUAUUGUAUGAGAGAUUCUCUCGAGUCCCUCCCUCACUCUUCAUUAUGAUUUCCAGAAGUAUUAUCUGUUAAAAGUAUACUUUUCUUGAUUAUAUAGGGAGAAAUACUUGCAGAUCUGUGAGCUUAUGGAUGAUGAAAAAGUUGACUUAUCAAGCACUGUAAUUGAUGAAGAUGCUCCUUUAGAAGAUGAUGUUGCUCGAAACGUGCAUCCACGGGAUCGCACAUCCAUAGAUGAUUUUGAGAUCAUAAAACCAAUAAGUCGGGGAGCUUUUGGGAGAGUGUUUUUGGCUAAAAAGAGAACGACAGGAGAUCUAUUUGCAAUCAAGGUAAAAUAUAUUUUGCUUUACACAUCAUAAGUUUGGAUUGUUUAUUUUUUCCCUAAAAUAAUAUUUGAAAUUCGACACAAGAAAAUGAUAAACGUAACUCAAGAAAUUAAUUGUCGAUGAACAAGGUUUUGUAAUUCAUAAAAUCAAUGAUGAACAAAAAUAAUGCAAGUUAGAUAACAGCCGAAAUGAUAGAUUUGCUUGCCAGUAAAAUAGAUAAUUUCGCAUUCAGUUGUCAAAGAUGUAUAAUUAGUGAAAGACUCGUUGAUCAAAAUAAUAAUAAAAAUUAGCGAAAGACUGAAAGUAUGAAAUUGAGGUCUGUUGGAAAACAAUUUGAUAGAUAACGAAAGCUUUUAUGUAUCUGUUAAAAAUCUUAGUCAAAAGUCAAAAUCUAGUCUUAAGUCUUAAACAGGCUUUUUUGUUGGGACUAAAAAUCGACGGUGUCUACUACACACACUCGCGCUUUCUUUUCUUCCUCGUCUUUCAGCAGAGAGAUUGAAAAGUUGGGAGUGUGUAAAUGACAACGAGGUUUUUAGUCGUAAUGGUGAUUAGGUUGAGUUGAACAAAAUCGAAAAUGGUGUUCAAGAACAAGCUCUUCUUCUCAUCGAAGAAAUCCGGAUCGUCGAGCCCCGAUAGCUCCAACAGCCCCAGAUCCGACGGCUCCAAGGGCGAUAAUCCGAGCUCCGGAGUCGGGUGUAAGCAGGCGGAGAUUAAAGAUGGAUCGAAGAAGGGCAAGGGAAAGCAAGUUCCAUCUCCUCACUCGAUCGGCAAAUCGAACUUGUCUCCUAGCUCCGACGCGAAGGAAGGAGGAGGAGGACCUGCUUUCGUUUCUCCGAUCAUGGCUUCCUCUCUGGGCUUGAACCGGAUCAAGACGAGAUCCGGACCUUUGCCGCGGGAAAGUGUUUUCAAUUUUAGGAAGGAAGCUGGGAGUAUUAAGCUAGGGGUGGAUCGUGAUGGCUUGUCUCCUGAUGCUGGCCCAAUGAGGAGCCUCAGCCCUAAGUUGCCGCCG
rnacentral:lncRNA from 1 species